CCUGCUCUUGCAAAAAAAAAUGACUGUGUGUUCAAUUUUGAGGGGUAAAGAAUGAACCACAUGUUCCGAAGUCUUUCCUUCACCGACUAUGAAUCAGCUAGAGUCAGGAGUGGAUAAAUUAUAAGUGGAGAAGAAGGAGUUAUUGGCUUCAAAAUUAUGAAAUGGAUGAAGUUUGUCUUUGGUAUCCUGCCCUCCUCAUUGUGCCAUGUCCAGUGGCCUCAGUGUCUUUCCUCGUCCUCCUUAAAACGUCAUUAGAAACUGAUAAUAGUUAUUCCAAUACCAAAUAUUACAAAUCAUCAGUUUCCUUCCCUUGAGGGCAUUUGCAUUUUCAACGUUACCUGUAGGAGUAGAAAGGAGACUGGUGCCUGACUGAAGGGAUUUGAAUCUUUUUUAUGCAGGGCAAGAAAAUGUUUAGAGUUAAAAGGAAGCCCUUUCCUAACACCCUAAAAUUAGCCACUAGUAUUUAGAUUUUAUUUUCCUUUUUUAUGAACAACGAGUUUUGAAUCUAUCCAAUUGAAAAGAUGAGCAUAUUUGAAUACAUGCAUGGGUGCUUUGAGAGCUAUGCAUGUCUCUAAGAAGACCAACAGAAUGAAUUCCAGGGCACCCGGCAAGAAUGUAAUGUUACAUGCUGCAAGUCUGGAUAUAGAACAGCACCGCUGCAUUACGUAGUUUCAAUAACUAAAAUUAGGGUAAAAUUAUUAAAUAUUAAAAAAAUAAGAUAAAUUUGAAUAUGAUUUAAAAGCCUGUGGAACCUGUGGGACGGAAGCACCUGAGUUCUCAUGAAUCAGAAACCAUCCUAUCUACCUGAAGUAUGGACUUUUGAGAACAUAAGAAACAGAUGGCUCUUCUUACUUUUCAUUUGAAAAGGUGGAAAACAGUGGGAAUCUUUUGAAUUUAAAACCGCAGAUGGAUCUACACUUCAGAGAUUCAGUCACAAAUUUGAGUAUUUAUGGAAUAUAGUGGCCUGCAAGUAACAUUCCAUUCCCGAUGCAUGUCUACAGUGUCAUGAGAACUGAGAACAGACUUCCACUGUGGAAUGAAUGAUACCAGUGAGGAUUCGGCAAUCCUCAAUCAGUGUGAGCUUAAACUAGUCAAGGAAAAGUUCUCUUUACCUUAAAUGGAAAGAAGAUGCUCAAAGAUCAGAAACUUGCAUCAGUGUGCCAAUGAAGUGACACUAUAAUAUGGCCCUCCUAAAAUUAUCAAUUAUUCAGGCUUGAAUUUUGCCACUGGAGUGGGAAAUAUCUAAAGAAAGAAGAGAGAGAAAUGACCAAGGAAUGGAAGGGGAAAGAGGUCUGUGCAGGCCCAAAUGAAAAAGA
rnacentral:lncRNA from 1 species